UCCCGAACUAUAUCUCCCUGCAGUUCUCGCCUGGUUUCCCACUGAAGAUAAGCAGGGAUGAGCCUGGACAGUACCUGGAUGGGUGAACUCUUGGGGAAAACUAGGGUUGAUGCUGGAA
ensembl:rRNA 5S_rRNA 5S ribosomal RNA